ACGAAUUGGUAUUGGCAAUUUUACAUUGUUGAGGUGGUGAAUCCCCCUGUGCGGAGGGGCGUAAACAGUACCGGUUUUCCACUACGGUCUCAUUAGCUAACGCGAGUCACGGUGGCUGACCAAAGACUCACCGGGAGGCACCCGGCACCACAGUAUUCUCUGUUUUGUUAUUUUUCUCUUUAGGCCUGCUCCCUGCGAGUGGGCCUUUUUUAUUU
rfam:Kluyvera intermedia strain CAV1151, complete genome.